GAUGAAGAACGCAGCGAAACGCGAUAAGUAAUGUGAAUUGCAGAAUUUAGUGAAUCAUCGAAUCUUUGAACGCACAUUGCGCCCCCUGGUAUUCCGGGGGGCAUGCCUGUCCGAGCGUCAUUACAACCCUCAAGCUCAGCUUGGUGUUGGGCCCCGCCGCCCCGGCGGGCCCUAAAGUCAGUGGCGGUGCCGUCCGGCUCCGAGCGUAGUAAUUCUUCUCGCUCUGGAGGUCCGGUCGUGUGCUCGCCAGCAACCCCCAAUUUUUUUCAGGUUGACCUCGGAUCAGGUAGGGAUACCCGCUGAACUUAAGCAUAUCAAUAAGCGGAGGA
rnacentral:misc_RNA from 1 species